rnacentral:rRNA from 1 species
CCUACGGGAGGCAGCAGUGGGGAAUAUUGGGCAAUGGACGCAAGUCUGACCCAGCAAUGCCGCGUGAAUGAAGAAGGCCCUCGGGUUGUAAACUUCUUUUAUUCGGGACGAAAAAAAUGACGGUACCGAAUGAAUAAGCCCCGGCUAACUACGUGCCAGCAGCCGCGGUAAUACGUAGGGGGCAAGCGUUGUUCGGAUUUACUGGGUGUAAGGGGUGUGUAGGCGGGUGAGCAAGUCAGACGUGAAAUUCCUGGGCUCAACCCUGGUUCUGCGUUUGAAACUGGUAUUCUUGAGUGAAGUAGAGGAAAGCGGAAUUCCUAGUGUAGCGGUGAAAUGCGUAGAUAUAAGGAGGAACACCAGUGGCGAAGGCGGCUUUCUGGACUGUAACUGACGCUGAGGCACGAAAGUGUGGGGAGCAAACAGGAUUAGAUACCCGGGUAGUC